UUUAUGUAAAACCAUGAGUUUCCGCGCCCAACUUUAGUUGUUCGUCUUAUUUGAAAAAUUUUUUGUAAUUAGUAUUUUUGUUGUUAUAAGAUGGUAAUACAUGAAUAGGACUUUAUGUGUGACUUAUGUUUUUGAAUUUUUUUUAAAAAAAAUUUUAAAUAAGACGGACGAUCAAUGUUCGGUGCGAAAACUCAUGGCUGUAAUUAAA
rfam:Oryza nivara chromosome 7, whole genome shotgun sequence.